rnacentral:rRNA from 1 species
CCUACGGGUGGCUGCAGUGAGGAAUAUUGGUCAAUGGACGCAAGUCUGAACCAGCCAUGCCGCGUGCAGGAAGACGGCUCUAUGAGUUGUAAACUGCUUUUGUAUGAGGGUAAACGCAGAUACGCGUAUCUUCCUGAAAGUAUCGUACGAAUAAGGAUCGGCUAACUCCGUGCCAGCAGCCGCGGUAAUACGGAGGAUUCAAGCGUUAUCCGGAUUUAUUGGGUUUAAAGGGUGCGUAGGCGGUCGGAUAAGUUAGAUGUGAAAUCCCGAGGCUCAACUUCGGAAUUGCAGUUGAUACUGGUAGGCUAGAGAGUAGUUGCGGUAGGCGGAAUGUAUGGUGUAGCGGUGAAAUGCUUAGAGAUCAUACAGAACACCGAUUGCGAAGGCAGCUUACCGGGCUGCAUCUGACGUUGAGGCACGAAAGCGUGGGGAGCAAACAGGAUUAGAUACCCGAGUAGUC